AGUAGCUAAAAGACUGUUUUUCCCCCCUCAAAUUCUCAGAAUUUGCCUUUUAUUUGGGGUUCAUUUACUUGCUAUGUAAUGGCUGAAUUACUCAGGUGAGUUUAAAUUUACCAUUAUACUAUAAUGACCCUUUAAUUUUAAUAUCUUUUUUCUCUGGAUGGUUUUAUUUUUGCCUUUCUUAAGUUUAGUUAUGGUGUGUCUAGGAGGGAAUUGCUUUUCAUUUACACUGUAGCAGUUUCUUACUAUUUCUUGAAUCUGUUGAUUCAUGUCUGUCUUUAGUUUUGGAAAACUGUCAUUAACUGUGCUUUGUUUUAUGACCUUUGAUCUCACCAGGUCAUUGACUUUUCUUCCCUUCUCUUCAGUGUUUCAUGUGUCUGAAUUUCAUUUUGGAUAUUUUCUUCUGAUGUGUCUCUCAGUUUUCCAAUUCUCUGUUAAAUUAUUUCUAAUGUGCUGUGACACGCAUCCAUCCAUUGCAUUAUUAAUUGGGAUUAUUGUAUACUUCAUUUCUAGAAUUUUUCUUUCUCUCAAAUCUACUCUGUAAUUUUUUGUGAUUUUCAUUUCUUUGCCGAAAUUUCCAAUUUUUAAUUUUUACUCCUUGAACAUAGUAAGCCCAUAGUUCUAAUAUUUGGAGCCUAUUUGCUUUUAUUGAGCAUUGCCACUACUGAUUCUCAUUCAUGACUGUUGGCUUUUCAUAUGCUUGUUUGUCUUUGAUUGUGUGACAUUUUACUGGAAAAACUGGUUUGUUUGUUUCUACAGAUCUAGAAUAUUAUAUUCCCCCAGAAAUAAUGUGUGUAUGUUUCCAGAAAUUUUUUCUGUUGUUUCUAAGAGCCCUAGCAAGGUGAUACCACCUUAUCUUGGCUCUACUUACAUUUCAAGCUGGAUAAUUCUUUAUUGUGGGGAUGUCCUAUGCCUUACAGGAUGUUUAAUAGUCUCUCAGACUCUUCCUACUAGAUAUCAAGAGUACCUCUUCCCAGUUCUGAUAAUUAAAAAAUGUCUUCAGAUAUUGUCAAAUGCCUGUUGGUACUUGAGAACCCGUCUUAACCUCUUAUUCAGUAAUUUUUACUUUGCAAGGAUUUUUCCAGUCUUUCAAAGGAAUUAAAAAAAUGAUGUUAAAAAAAUGAUCUUGUUUUUCUAGUUGUCUACAGUAAAAACUAGAUCCAAAAUCUGACAGAGAGACAUAUAUGUAUACACAUUCCUGCUGUUUGUGACAGCAGGAGAACAUCCUGUCAUAUCCUAUGACUUAUCUGCAACUAUGGAUGUAGGGAUUCUAUCUAAACUGCCUGCCUCUCACAUGGGCCAUUCUGCCACUUGGUAGAGGCUUUCUCUUUUCCUUUGCCAUGCCAGGGUUAUUUUUGCUAUUAAGACAUUCUUCAAGACAAAUGUCUAGUGAACAAUCUUCAACUUUAAACUUCAGUGGCCCAAGCUCAAAUAUUAAUAUGUACCGACUGCAAGUGCUCUUCCAUUUUUUAUUCAUGGUGUGUUUCCUGCUUGGUAUAUUGUAUGAGAUUAGGGGCGAUUUCUAGAAUAGCUACUCACAGAGAAAUCAGGGGUCCUAAAAAUCAUCUAGUCCAAACAGUUGUGGAAAUUGAAGUGUAGUAGUUUGUAUAAAUAAUACAUUGUCAUGGAAUAACUGGAACUGAAAAGAAAAAAGCCACCUCUAAAUGAAUAAGAGCCAGAGUGAACCAACUCACAUGCAAACCAGGUAAUAAAGUGACAAGGCUUGGAUUGAGGAUAUUGACAACACUUUCCCAUUGUGACCAAGAGGGGAUGAUCCCAAGCAAUACUGACUGUUCCUAUAUGAGAGAAAGAAAUGACAUUUAUUGUUUUAUGUUAGGAAUUUCUGCAUUAUUUCUUUUUUACCCUUGACAACCUUAUGGAAUCUACUUAAGAUCUUUUUUUAAUCUCCAUUUUUAAUGAGGAAUCAGUGGUUUAGUGUGCUGUAAUUUGCUUCAAAUCACCAGGAUAAUAAGUGGCCAAACUGGGAUAUUAGAUUGGCUCUACCCUCUAAGUCUGUAACUUUUUUUUCUUAUAUUUUGCUAUAACCUCUAAGUCUGUAACUUUUUUUCUUAUAUUUUGCUAUUCCUACAGUUCUCUUAGGGUCAUGACUUUUCUUUUUAGGGCAUGUAUUUAAAAUGUAUAUUUCAGAAGCCCAUAUUUCUCUAAGUUACCAUUGAGUCUUAGGUGGGAAUCCAGUGAGAAGAAGGACUCAUAUCAGAAAGGUACUCUUUGGAGAGCUGUGAGGUGGCCACCAGGAGACCCUGGUGGGUCUUACCUGUCACACAAAACCAGAAGUAGAGGCUAAAGAAUAUAAGUGCCUAAUUUUUUAGAUUUGCACCCUUUCUCUUCUUCUUAGCUCCACUUUUUUCUUCUGUGGAAUAAAUCCCCCUAAGUGCAAUAGUUUCUCAAAGAUGGCCAAACCAUUCUGGUAUUAGGAUCUAGGAAGGAAAUCUUGGAAGAUAAGGCAAGGUAUUGGACAAUUUGGUAACUCUUGAUGUUUUCUAGAACUUGGAGGAUGAGGGAGGGUAUGUUCUUUCUUGAAGGAAUUUUCUACUUCUAGUUCUGGCCAGCAUGAGAACACUGAGAACUAUCUAAUCAUUUGUGAUUCCUUCACUAGCAAUAAAAUACUCUUCCAACAGGAGGAUUUAAUUUCAGCAGCAAAUAACUUCAAAAUGACUCUAAAUGAGGUCCAAAUGGGUCUCAAUUUGGCCUCAAAUCAAGCAAUGGACAUGCCACAAUAUUGGUAGAAGGCUCUGGGAAGUUCUAGCACUACACGAAUGUUUAAACAUUCUUUUUGUUGAUAAGAUAUUGUUUUACCUUGUCAGAUAUAUUUCCAGAUUGAUUAUGAGGUUAGUUCAGGAUAAUUACUCACAGGUAGAUUAGGUGGCUGCUUCUUUUCCUCUCACUGCAUUCCUCAUUUGGUUCUCACCAAUUCCUACUCAUUUUUGCAUGGUGUUAUACUCUACUUCAUCUCAUCCACAGAAAGAAGAAAAUUCUGGAAGUUGCAUAUUAGCUGUUCCUUAAAUGAUACACACACACACAGCCCCAUUCUGUUAGUUUCUUUGGCUUUUACAAAGUGUUGGUAGCUUCAAUACUCUUGUGCUAGAUAUUUGAUAAAAACUACACUAAGAUUUGGAAAGGUAGUAUUUUGUGAAAAA
rnacentral:lncRNA from 1 species